UGGGGAAUAUUGGACAAUGGGCGCAAGCCUGAUCCAGCCAUGCCGCGUGAGUGAUGAAGGCCCUAGGGUUGUAAAGCUCUUUCGGCGGGGACGAUAAUGACGGUACCCGCAGAAGAAGCCCCGGCUAACUUCGUGCCAGCAGCCGCGGUGAUACGAAGGGGGCUAGCGUUGUUCGGAAUCACUGGGCGUAAAGCGCACGUAGGCGGACUGUUAAGUCGGAGGUGAAAUCCUGGGGCUCAACCCCAGAACUGCCUUCGAUACUGGCAAUCUAGAGUGUGGAAGAGGUUGGUGGAACUCCGAGUGUAGAGGUGAAAUUCGUAGAUAUUCGGAAGAACACCAGUGGCGAAGGCGGCCAACUGGUCCAUUACUGACGCUGAGGUGCGAAAGCGUGGGGAGCAAACAGG
rnacentral:rRNA from 2 species